rnacentral:rRNA from 1 species
CUACCCUUGACAUGUAUGGAAUCCUGCUGAGAGGUGGGAGUGCCCGAAAGGGAGCCAUAACACAGGUGCUGCAUGGCUGUCGUCAGCUCGUGUCGUGAGAUGUUGGGUUAAGUCCCGCAACGAGCGCAACCCUUGUCCCUAGUUGCUACGCAAGAGCACUCUAGGGAGACUGCCGGUGACAAACCGGAGGAAGGUGGGGAUGACGUCAAGUCCUCAUGGCCCUUAUGGGUAGGGCUUCACACGUCAUACAAUGGUCGGAACAGAGGGUCGCCAACCCGCGAGGGGGAGCCAAUCCCAGAAAACCGAUCGUAGUCCGGAUCGCACUCUGCAACUCGAGUGCGUGAAGCUGGAAUCGCUAGUAAUCGCGGAUCAGCAUGCCGCGGUGAAUACGUUCCC